GGGCUGCUAUCACAUUGUGUUGUAUGUUUAUACAACAUUUCUGCAGCAGGCUUUGUCUCACAAAUAGCUGAGGAGAUCCUGAAAAUACAGGCAUGCCAAUAACAUCUCGGUUGUGCUCAAAAACAGAGAGAUGUACACAAGGCCAGGGAAUUCUGCUGCACUAUGACUAACAGAUUAUAUAAACACGGCCAACAGAGGUAUUAGUCAAACUGUCUCCAUGUUACGUAACCAUUUUCACUGUAUUCGAAAGUUUGUGUCUUGCUCUGGUGCUGAACAAUAAAAGGCAGAAAAGGAAACUGCUCAUCCAGUGAGAUUUCACUUUGUACUUUAGCAGUACUUUCAACAUAACUGUUACUAUUUACCACGUUCCUACUCAUGAAGUAGAAAUGGCUGGAAUUCAUAUAUUUUUUCUUUUUUUUUCUUUUUUUGCACUACAGCUUUCAAAAUGCCCGAGUACCAUGGCUAGAGACCAAGCUCCCUGGGGGGAAAGACCUAUCUCUUUUGGCAGGCCUGCCCAGUCAAUUUUAACCCAUGGAUUUAAACUUUCAUUUUCCUGAUAUAAAUGAUUUUAAUGUGUAUUAAUUUUAUGUUUGUCUCUUGCUAUAUGUGUUUUAAUGGUCUUGCUCUUAUCUUCGUAUUUUAACUGUGUUGUACCUUGCCUCGUGUUUUGAGGAGAGACAGGUAACAUAAAUUAUUGUUAUCGUAAUCAUUAUUAUUGGAUAUUUUGUGUAAAUGACAAAAACCCCAGCAGAACAGAAAAAGGAUUUGUUUUCAAAGUUGGAGGAAACUUUCCAAAAUAACAAUAAAGUCCAGUCCAAAUGCAUGACAAGCAGAAAGUCGCUAGCUAUUAAUAUGGUAUAUAAAUUAAAAAAAAUAGCUGUAAAAUGAACACAUUACCCACAACACAAGCUGUAACGAAAUAAAGUUGUGGGCUUUUUAUUGCCACCAUUUUGUUGUUUAAUGGCUAUUAUUGUUCUAUUAUUGAAGAAGUGGAGCGACAUAAAGGUCUGCAGGGGGUUGAGGUGUCUGCUGUGCUGUUGCAUAAGGGACCAGAACACCUCUAGCCAGCCCUUUUGUUGCUGCCUUCGGAACCUGGGAAUUACUUGCGAGGAGACCGUAACUCCAGGUCCCUUUCCAGCCGGAUGCGGAACAUUUUUUGCAUUAGAUGAUCACACUGUGCAGAGUCCCAGUACUGAGUGUUCCUCAACCUCAGGGUCAUCCUCGUCUUGUCUCAUCAUCGGUUCAAAUGUUGAAGUCGGUGAUUUGCCAGUCCAGCCAUCUGUCCUGCCCUCCCUGUUCACCCGCUCAUACUCUGGCUCCUUCGGCAGGCUUUUCCAUAAUCCCUCCUUAUUAUCCAAGAUAUUCGCUUAUCCAAGCUUCUGCCGGCCCAUUUACUUGCAACAAGGAGAAGAUAAACAGGGACCAAAUGGAUGACCAGCCUGCAAUCUCCCCUUCCCUCAAAGUGGAAGACAUUCUAUUCUGGGGACUUCAUCAGAUUACACUGGGAAGUGUUCAGAAGUGUUCAGAAGAAGAAAGUUCAGUCUAACUCCAUUCCCUAAUAAAAAGGAGUUUUUCCCUACCUUGGAAUCACACGUUUUAGUGCACUCAUUUGUCUUGCAUAUUUUCAAUGAAGAGGCUUCCACACUGCAGACAUUUGGCCCCGCCCACCACUUUUUGAUACUUCAACUCCCACAGUUCACAAAAGCAGGG
rnacentral:lncRNA from 11 species